rnacentral:rRNA from 1 species
AGCGAACGCUGGCGGCAGGCCUAACACAUGCAAGUCGAACGAACUCUUCGGAGUUAGUGGCGGACGGGUGAGUAACACGUGGGAACGUGCCUUUUGGUUCGGAAUAACUCAGGGAAACUUGUGCUAAUACCGAAUGUGCCCUUCGGGGGAAAGAUUUAUCGCCAUUAGAGCGGCCCGCGUCUGAUUAGCUAGUUGGUGAGGUAACGGCUCAUCAAGGCGACGAUCAGUAGCUGGUCUGAGAGGAUGACCAGCCACACUGGGACUGAGACACGGCCCAGACUCCUACGGGAGGCAGCAGUGGGGAAUCUUGCGCAAUGGGCGAAAGCCUGACGCAGCCAUGCCGCGUGAAUGAUGAAGGUCUUAGGAUUGUAAAAUUCUUUCACCGGGGACGAUAAUGACGGUACCCGGAGAAGAAGCCCCGGCUAACUUCGUG